CAGGCCUAACACAUGCAAGUCGAACGAAGGCUUCGGCCUUAGUGGCGCACGGGUGCGUAACGCGUGGGAAUCUGCCCUUGGGUUCGGAAUAACGGAGAGAAAUCUCCGCUAAUACCGGAUGAUGUCGCGAGACCAAAGAUUUAUCGCCUGAGGAUGAGCCCGCGUUGGAUUAGCUAGUUGGUGGGGUAAAGGCCUACCAAGGCGACGAUCCAUAGCUGGUCUGAGAGGAUGAUCAGCCACACUGGGACUGAGACACGGCCCAGACUCCUACGGGAGGCAGCAGUGGGGAAUAUUGGACAAUGGGCGCAAGCCUGAUCCAGCAAUGCCGCGUGAGUGAUGAAGGCCUUAGGGUUGUAAAGCUCUUUUACCCGGGAUGAUAAUGACAGUACCGGGAGAAUAAGCUCCGGCUAACUCCGUGCCAGCAGCCGCGGUAAU
rnacentral:rRNA from 1 species